AGAGCCAACCUCAAACAAGUCAAGAAGGAGGUCAAAGAGGAGGAUAAAGAACUGCGUGAUGUUGGUGACUGGCGUAAGAACAUCGAGGAUAAGUCUGGUAUGGGUGGCAGGAAGAAGAUGUUUGAAUCUGAAGCUUGAAGAUGUUGAUGAUGAGUAUUCCACCAUGAUUUUUUUCAUUGGCUUGGAUCUGAAUAAAAUGUACUACUUAAAGGUUUUGCAGGAACUGUUCAGUGGACAGUUCAAUUUAUAAUCCAUAAAAAUGCCAGUCAAAACUUGAAUUGUUCUCUUGAACAAUGAGGUGUUCAGUUUGUAAUUCUAUACAGAUUGACUGUUUGCCAAAAAUAUGUUUUUUUUCCUAAAUAAAUAACCCAACUGUAAUAAUUGUUGCUUCCUGCUUUUUUAAAAAGGUUUUCUUUAUUUUAUCAUCUUUUUACCUAUAAUUGUAACCUUUACCUUGUUGUAUUUUUAUUUAUUUAUUUGAAUUGCUUAAAGUGAACAAGGAAUCAAAAUCAACCCUAUUUACGUUCUUUAUAGACAUUCUUGGUCUUAUUGUGAUCAAUUUGUCGAUGUUAAAAUGACUUUCCUUUUCGGUUGACGUCUUAUUUUUCAGUCCCACAAACCACCUGAUACAACUUUUUAUAUCUCACAGACCCACCCUACAUUUUUUUCACAUGGAAUAUCCCAUUUCCCUCUGAAAUCCGCCACUAUUAUGAAAGUGAACUGGGUUACAAACAAGGUUUCAUUUUGACUUUACACAUUUUUUAUAAUUCAGUGUAACAUCAAAUCUAAACCAAGUACUGCUCGUUUUAUCUUCAAGAAUGAUGUCCAGUAUAUGUCUUGAUGGAUCAUUGGG